rnacentral:rRNA from 1 species
AGAGUUUGAUUCUGGCUCAGGANNNACGCUGGCGGCGUGCCUAAUACAUGCAAGUCGAGCGAAUGGAUGGGAGCUUGCUCCCUGACAUUAGCGGCGGACGGGUGAGUAACACGUGGGCAACCUGCCCUGCAGAUGGGGAUAACUCCGGGAAACCGGGGCUAAUACCGAAUAAUCAGUUCUCCCGCAUGGGAGAACUCUGAAAGACGGUUUCGGCUGUCACUGCAGGAUGGGCCCGCGGCGCAUUAGCUAGUUGGUGGGGUAAUGGCCUACCAAGGCGACGAUGCGUAGCCGACCUGAGAGGGUGAUCGGCCACACUGGGACUGAGACACGGCCCAGACUCCUACGGGAGGCAGCAGUAGGGAAUCUUCCACAAUGGACGAAAGUCUGAUGGAGCAACGCCGCGUGAGCGAAGAAGGUUUUCGGAUCGUAAAGCUCUGUUGUGAGGGAAGAACAAGUACGGGAGUAACUGUCCGUACCUUGACGGUACCUCAUUAGAAAGCCACGGCCAACUACGUGCCAGCAGCCGCGGUAAUACGUAGGUGGCAAGCGUUGUCCGGAAUUAUUGGGCGUAAAGCGCGCGCAGGCGGUCCUUUAAGUCUGAUGUGAAAGCCCACGGCUCAACCGUGGAGGGUCAUUGGAAACUGGGGGACUUGAGUACAGAAGAGGAAAGUGGAAUUCCACGUGUAGCGGUGAAAUGCGUAGAGAUGUGGAGGAACACCAGUGGCGAAGGCGACUUUCUGGUCUGUAACUGACGCUGAGGUGCGAAAGCGUG